AGAAGUCGUAACAAGGUUUCCGUAGGUGAACCUGCGGAAGGAUCAUUGUCGAAACCUGSCAAGAAGAACGACCUGCGAACUCGUAUAGAAACCACAGGGGGUGCUUGUGGCGGGCUUGACUGCCCCCCGCUCUCUUCCCCCUUGUCGGGUGCGCUAUUGAACUGCGUCCCUCGGCUAAAAAACAAAACACCGGCGCGAAUCGCGUCAAGGAAUUCAAACGAGAGAAGAGAAGCGCGCCCCCUGGGUUCUCGUUCGCGAGUGAAGCUGUGGGGGGUGGCGGUCACGUCUUUUAUGAACAUAACGACUCUCGGCAACGGAUAUCUCGGCUCUCGCAUCGAUGAAGAACGUAGCGAAAUGCGAUACUUGGUGUGAAUUGCAGAAUCCCGUGAACCAUCGAGUCUUUGAACGCAAGUUGCGCUCGAAGCCAUUAGGCUGAGGGCACGUUUGCCUGGGCGUCUCACAUCACGUCGCCUCCGCCCUGUGCUCGCAAAGGGUUCUUGGGUUGAUGAGGGUGGAUUUUGGCCCCCCGUGUGCCUAAGUGCGCGGUCGGCCUAAAGAUAAGUCCCUGGCGACGAACGUCACGAUAACGGUGGAUGUGAUAACGUUGCGUCACGUCGUGCACGUCUUCGUCCCAACGGGUUACUUUUAUUUUUGACCUUGAAAGCACCGUCUCCACGGAGCCUCGAUCGCGACCCCAGGUCAGGCGGGUUUACCCGCUGAGUUUAAGCAUAUCAAUAAGCGGAGGAAAAGAAACUUACAAGGAUUCCCCUAGUAACGGCGAGCGAACCGGGAAU
rnacentral:rRNA from 1 species